AUUGAACGCUGGCGGCAGGCCUAACACAUGCAAGUCGAGCGGAUGAAGGGAGCUUGCUCCUGGAUUCAGCGGCGGACGGGUGAGUAAUGCCUAGGAAUCUGCCUGGUAGUGGGGGAUAACGUCCGGAAACGGGCGCUAAUACCGCAUACGUCCUGAGGGAGAAAGUGGGGGAUCUUCGGACCUCACGCUAUCAGAUGAGCCUAGGUCGGAUUAGCUAGUUGGUGGGGUAAAGGCCUACCAAGGCGACGAUCCGUAACUGGUCUGAGAGGAUGAUCAGUCACACGGGAACCGAGACACGGUCCCGACUCCUACGGGAGGCAGCAGUGGCGAAUAUUGGACAAUGGGCGAAAGCCUGAUCCAGCCAUGCCGCGUGUGUGAAGAAGGUCUUCGGAUUGUAAAGCACUUUAAGUUGGGAGGAAGGGCAGUAAGUUAAUACCUUGCUGUUUUGACGUUACCAACAGAAUAAGCACCGGCUAACUUCGUG
rnacentral:rRNA from 1 species